CCUACGGGAGGCAGCAGUGGGGAAUAUUGCACAAUGGGGGAAACUCUGAUGCAGCGACGCCGCGUGCGUGAAGAAGUAUCUCGGUACGUAAAGCUCUAUCAGCAGGGAAGAAAAUGACGAUACCUGACUCAGAAGCCCCGGCUCACUACGUGCCAGCAGCGGCGGUAAUAUGGAGGAGGCAAGCGUGAUCCGGAUUUACUGGGUGUAAAGGGAGUGUAGUCGGCAGCACAAGUGUGAAGUGAAAUCCCGGGGCUCAACCCCGGAACUGCUUUGGAAACUGUGCGGCUGGAGUGCAGUAGGGGUAGGCGGAAUGCCUGGUGUAGCGGUGAAAUGCGUAGAGAUUAGGAGGAACACCGGUGGUGAAGGCAGCUUACUAAACUAUGACUGACGUUGAGGCACGAAAGCGUGGGGAGCAAACAGGAUUAGAUACCCCAGUAGUC
rnacentral:rRNA from 1 species